rnacentral:rRNA from 1 species
CAAGAGUACGUGAAACUGCUUAGAGGUUAAGCCCGAUGAACCUGAAUAUCCAUUAUAGAAAAUUCAUCAUUAUGAUUUUAAUAUUUGUAAUAUUAUAAUAAUGGUGUGCAUUUUUUCUAUUGAGGACAUUGUAAUCUAUUAACAUAAUUAAAUUUAUCAUAAGAUCAUUAUGCGUAAGUUUAUUCAACUUAUUUUGCUUGCAAUUUAAUAUCGAAUAAAUGCUUUUGAUUUGAUAAAGUGUUGAUAGAUUUAUUAUAUAUAGUGCUUAAAUAUAUAUAUAUAUUUUAUAAUAGCAUAAUAAUUAAUAAUUUUUGUGUUUAUUAUAUGCACUUAUAUGAUUAACAAUGCGAAAGAUUCAGGAUACCUUCGGGACCCGUCUUGAAACACGGACCAAGGAGUCUAACAUAUUUGCAAGUUAUUGGGAAUAUAAAACCUAAAAGCGAAAUUAACAUAACUAAAAUUGUAUAUGGGAUUAGUUUUUAGUCUAUUUUAUAGUCUAUUAAUUCAAUCCCGGGGCGUUCUAUAUAGUUAUGUAUAAUAAUAUUUAUAUUAUUUAUACCUCUAACUAGAGCGUACCUUGAGCAUAUAUGCUGUGACCCGAA